rnacentral:rRNA from 1 species
GAACGCAUCGCAAGAUGAGUGGCAGACGGGUGAGUAACGCGUGGGAAUCUACCGUGCCCUGCGGAAUAGCUCCGGGAAACUGGAAUUAAUGCCGCAUACGCCCUACGGGGGAAAGAUUUAUCGGGGUAUGAUGAGCCCGCGUUGGAUUAGCUAGUUGGUGGGGUAAAGGCCUACCAAGGCGACGAUCCAUAGCUGGUCUGAGAGGAUGAUCAGCCACAUUGGGACUGAGACACGGCCCAAACUCCUACGGGAGGCAGCAGUGGGGAAUAUUGGACAAUGGGCGCAAGCCUGAUCCAGCCAUGCCGCGUGAGUGAUGAAGGCCCUAGGGUUGUAAAGCUCUUUCGCCCGCGACGAUGAUGACGGUAGCGGGAGAAGAAGCCCCGGCUAACUUCGUG